AAUGGACCAGACAAAGGAAAGUGGAUCCGUGAGGAAGGCACUGGCCGUGGAAGGGCGUGUGUGGUCCCCACAAGCUCCGAAAUUAAACAGGACGCAGUUCCCCACCUCAGACCUGGAGAGUGUUCAGUACUGGACCCCUGGCACCCACCCUACCCUCCCCGGCCUCCUCCGCCACGCCUCCGGCGCCUCGCGUCUAGGGCUCAGCUUUUUCCACCCCGUGUGAUUCCAACCUCAAGGCGGGCGCGCCCCGAGGCCGCUCGGAGAGUCUCAGGUGCGAAAGUUAAGCCGCCGCCGCGUCACCGGAGGCCCGGGCGAGAGGCGGCCAGGCCAGCGGCAGCCCUAGCCCAGCCCCUUGGCACGUCCCCGCUUGGGCCAACGUGGAGACCCGGGCCACCGCGGCUGGGCAGGGCCCGGCCGAGGCCAGGCCCCUCCGAGAGGCGCCGCCGCCGCGCUCCGCCCGACUCCGACCCGCCGGCCUUUACCUGUGUCCACGUCCCGGAGCCUCCGGCUUCGCGCCCCCUCCCGGCGCUCCCGGCCGCCAGCAGCCAGGCUCUGAGGAGUUGCUGCGACUCCGGCAGCAGCGGCGAUGCCGGUUCGGCGAGACGGGAAGCGACAGGAGCCAAACCCCGCGGAAAGCGCUCUAGCUGUGCCGGCAGCCCCGACCCCGCGGCCUCGGACGUGGCGCCCCGGCGCUCGCCCGCCGCCGCCAGCUGCCCUGCUCACCCCACCUCUGCGGGUUCCCACCCGAGCCGCGCGUGGGCGGCGCCGGGCUUUGACCUCGCGCAGGCAGACAAGCGCCGCGGGCCAGACGGAACCGUGGGAAGUUCCACCGGUGUGCAAGGAGAUUAACCACUGAAGUGCACCUGACUGACACUACGCUUAACAAAUUACAGUUGGGAGACCACACAAUCUAGGCUAAUUCCGAUUGGCUGCUGUUGACAUCAUCAAAGGAGGCAAGGGGCGUUUGACCGGAAGGACAGGUAUGGUACCUCUUGAGGUGUUCGGGCAUAGCAGAGAUAGGGAGGGCUGAUAGAUGAAUGGGUAAGAUUACCUUUUAGAAUAGAACAAAGAAUCAGGAACUGAAACCCGUUGAAGAGGAACUAUUUGUUCUUAACAACAAUUUCCCACUCUUGAAUUGAUACGUUUUGUUAUUCAAACUUACCUAAUAUGACUCGGCUUUGUUGUUCUUCCAGGAGAAAGAAUCUAUUAGUAUAGGAUUGGGAAGAACUAGGGAAGGUUCUGGUAACAGCUGUUUCUAUAAGUCUUUGGACUAAUGUACGAAUGCAGGAUAUGACGCAGCAUCCAACAGGAAAAAACACAGCUAUUGUGACUGCAAGAGAAGUAAUAGUAGAGGCCAUGAGUCCUUUCCAAUUACCAAACCAUUUCCCUAACCAUCCUGUGAAAGGGUCGUUUAUCCCAGAUUUUGUGGCCAAUUCAUUUGAUAAGGAGGUAAGACCUUGUAAAGCUUUUGUAAUUGUUCCAUCAGGGACUGUAUUGUUGCAGCAUUGGGUUCCUAUCAUAACACAAACUCCACCUUUUUCUGCUAAUACCAUAUCUAGGGCCAUUCUGUUUUCCCAAGCCAUCUGGCUAGUAGGCCCUAAUUGUUUGGCUAAUUCUUUGACAGCAUCCCUAGUGUAAUUAAGUAAUCGCUGCUGGUUAUAAUAGAUGUAAUUUAUCCAAUCUACAUUUUUAUUAAUAGUUAGCCAUGGAAAUGAUGAUUCAAAUCCUGCCGCUAUUUAGUCUUGGGCUUAGAAUCUAUCAGGUACCCCCUGUGGGACUCCAACUGCAGCUAUAUAAACAUGAGAGAUGAAAGAUCCAUGAGGGGCCUCUCUCAUUUUACGGUGUUGUGGUUUCCCUUUCUCUGGUUGAUGAAAUGCCACAGUGAAAGGGAUGGCCAGUUGAGUUAGAGCGCACGUGCCGCUCCAGUUACUUGGCAGAGUGUCCAGUAGAGGUCCACCAAAAUAUCACCAUACAUCAGCACGGGGAUGAACAAGGGCAGACUGAUUGGUAAACUAUUAGAAAUAUUUAAACUCACUUCAUCCCUUCAGGUAUCCAAGAAACGCCAAAUGUUGUCCCUGUCAUGAGAGAUGUGAGGUAAAAUUGGCAUCUGGAGAUGGAGGCUGGAUGGCCCUCAGGGGCUGACCUGCAGGAUGUUGAACUUCAGGGAAUAGCAGAGAGAGAAUUUGACAGAAUUCAUUACCCCAGGCUGUGGGGUCUUAGAAAAGAGCCACCAUACAGCUCAUGCUUGGCUGGUCAGAAAACCAUCCAAGUGGAAAGGGGAUAACUCGGGCCUCUGGCCUACUUUGCGCACAAGCGUAAUAGUCGCUUUUAUUUAGAGUGCGAACAGAAUAUUCAAUCCAUUCCAUCCAGGCAUUUGCAUCAUGGUAUCCUGUUUCAAUUGCCAGUGUUUGUUUUAAAUUUUUAACUUCUACAAUAGCUACGUUGGUUUUGUCAUUAGGUGGAGAAGAUCCUUAGAAGAGGAUAGAGGUGGAAAUGUGAGGGAUGAGGAUGUAAUGAGGUGCAACUCGAAGAAUCCUAUAGGGUCUUUUCCUGUUACAUCUGUUCCCAUACCAUAAAAACAGUUCAGGGUAGGGGAGGAAUCUUGGAGAGUUGGGAUGGUGAUGGAAAUUUGCACUGGGUUACAUUGGUUAUGUUGACAAUUGGGAGGGGCACUUCCUUUAGUAACAUGAUUAUAGGGCUUUAGAACUGCUAGCGGGAAAUCCUCUGAGGGGACCCAUUCUUGACAUUGAGUGGUCCAAAUGACACAUUCCCAAGUAUGACAAAAUGGGAGAAGCACCUGCUGUGGAUAGGGCAGAGAUAUUUCCCUGCUGCUGCAAGCUGUCUCUGGCUUUGGAGAUCCCCACAAGACAUAACUAAACAAGCAUCAAAGGUCAUGGUUUGGAGUGAGUCUGAUCUAGUUGCAUUAAUAAUGAGGUGGCUAGCAACAGAACAAGGAAAGAAGAAGGAGUAAUAGAAUAAAUGAAAGAGAGCUAAACUUUCCUUAGCUUUAAUUUGGUAGGAUUUUCCCCUGGGACUAUAGCCCAUGACCCUGGAGGGGGCGGCACUUUCUUGACUCAGGUAUGAUGGGUCCAUCCUUUCUCGGUGGUUCAGACUGCAGUUUCAGUUGUUAGGAGCACUAGAUAUGGUCCCUCCCAGGACAGUUCAAGUUUCUCUUCUUUCCAGCUCUUAAUGAGGACGUAGUCUCUGGGCCAGUGCUGAUGAACUGGAAACUCAAGAAGUGGGGUUUGUGCUGAGACCUUUAGUCCUAAGGGAAGAUAAGGUAGAAGAUAGACCAAGUAUGUAGUUCCUAAGGAAUUGAUCUUUGGUCUCAAAAGUGGGAAUAUCACUAGUGGAGCUUAAGUAUGGUAACCCAUAGAGCAUUUCGUAAGGGGAUAGACCAACGUCUUUUUGCGGGGCAGUUACGAUCCUGAGUAGAGCAACAGAGAGACACUUAGUCCAGGGUAGUAGAGUUUCUAAAAUUAACUUAGUUAGAGGAUUCUUCAAAGUCUGAUUCAUCCUUUCUAUUCUUCCUGAUAAGGAUGGAUGCCAGGGGUUAUGACAUUCACAUUUGAUUCCUAAAGCUUGAGUAAGCCCUUUAAUGAUAAUUGCAGUAAAAUGAGUCGCAUUGUC
rnacentral:lncRNA from 1 species